rnacentral:rRNA from 1 species
CAAUAGCGUAUAUUAAAGUUGUUGCAGUUAAAAAGCUCGUGGUUGGAUUUCGGGACGGGCCAGUUGGUCCGCCGCAAGGUGUGUUACUGACUGGUCUGUUCUUCUUCGCAAAGACUGCGCGUGCUCUUCGUUGAGUGUGCGUAGGAUUUACGACGUUUACUUUGAAAAAAUUAGAGUGUUCAAAGCAGGCUAUCGCUUGAAUACAUGAGCAUGGAAUAAUGGAAUAGGACUUUGGUCCUAUUUUGUUGGUUUCUAGGACCGAAGUAAUGAUUAAGAGGGACAAUUGGGGGCAUCCGUAUUUCGUUGUCAGAGGUGAAAUUCUUGGAUUUACGAAAGACGAACAACUGCGAAAGCACUUGCCAAGAGUGUUUUCAUUAA